UACGUAGGGACCGAGCGUUGUCCGGAAUCAUUGGGCGUAAAGGGCGCGUAGGCGGCCCACUAAGUCAGACGUGAAAUCCCCCGGCAUAACCUGGGAACUGCGUCUGAUACUGGAGGGCUUGAGUAUGGGAGAGGGAUGUAGAAUUCCAGGUGUAGCGGUGAGAUGCGUAGAUAUCUGGAGGAAUACCGGUGGCGAAGGCGGCAUCCUGGACCAUUACUGACGCUGAGGCGCGAAAGCUAGGGGAGCAAACGGG
rnacentral:rRNA from 1 species